rnacentral:rRNA from 1 species
GACGAACGCUGGCGGCGUGCUUAACACAUGCAAGUCGAACGAAGUGGCGAACGGGUGAGUAAUACGUGAGUAACCUGCCCUCCUUUUUGGGAUAAGCCUUGGAAACGGGGUCUAAUACCGCAUAAAGGGGGCUGGGCUCGCGGCCUAUCAGCGUGUUGGUGGGGUGAUGGCGUACCAAGGCGGUGACGGGUAGCCGGCCUGCGAGGGUGACAGGGAACAUGGGGACUGGGAUACGGCCCUGAGUCCGACGGGAGGAAGCAGUGGGGGAGAUUGCACAAUGGGCGAAAGCCUGAUGCAGGGAUGACGGGAGGGGGAUGAAGGAUUUUGGGUUGUAAACGUUUUUCGCGAUCGAAAGGGUAGGUGGAGAAGAAGCGCCGGCUAACUACGUGCCAGCAGCCGCGGUAAUAC